GUGAGAUGAUGAAUAAGUUUAUCCAUUCUCUGAGUGCUGCUAGCCUCCUAUCUCUGCAGCACCAGAGUCUGUUCUAGGCCUGAGUGUCCCUCAGCUCCCAGGUGCUGUGCUAGCAGUCCUGUGUUCUACUGGCUGCUUCUACUGGAUCUUGGUGAGCUGUUGCAGGAUAGGAGGGUCUGGCAGAGGUAGAAUCUACCUUAGCGAAGACGAGCGAUACAAUCUGAUCAC